GCCCCCAGCCCGGCGCCGGCCCGGCUGCGAGCAGAGGGGUCUCCCCCAAAUCCACCCCCCCCUCCGCUGCCCUCUGAGGUGGGGGGGGGUCGUUCCGGGAGGGGAGGGGGGCGCUGGGUGCUCCCCCCCCCACCCCCCGACCCCUCCCCCGGCCCGCGGCGCUGCCGUGGCGUCGGUUCCGUUCCGGGGGGGGUUCCAAAGGCGUCUUACCAGGAUACAAACCCUUAUACCAACCAUACACUGAGGUGUGGAGGGGGGAGCAUUAGGAUCAGCUGCAAGCCAGCAGUGGCAAAAGCCAUCACAAAGGUGGCUGCAGUGACAACAAAACACGAGUUAAUACAACCCCGGCCGGCCACCGGCCUCCGUCCCACCCCACCGCACGCGGAGACGGCGCCCCCGGAGCCGGGACGGCCUCCCCCCGGAGCCAACGGGGACGCCCCCGGAUCGCCCGUCCCGAGGGGUGCGGGGACAGAGGGACAGACAGACAGAGAGAGAGAGAGAGAGAGAGAGAGAGAGAGAGAGAGAGCGGCGCCGGCACGACGCGGCCAGCCGGGCGUUGGUCGGCGUCAGGGGGGGCUGGUCAACCUCAAUGGAGGGUGGUCAGCGUCAAUGGAAAGUUGGUCAACCUCAAUGGAAGGUUAUUCAAUGUCAAUGGAAGGUUGGUCAUCAUCAAUGGAGGUUGGUCAACCUCAAUGGAGGGUGGUCAGCGUCAAUGGAAAGUUGGUCAACCUCAAUGGAGGUUGGUCAGCGUCAAUGGAAAGUUGGUCAACCGCAAUGGAAAGUUGGUCAACCUCAAUGGAAGGUUAUUCGAUGUCAAUGGAGGUUGGUCAUCAUCAAUGGAGGUUGGUCAUCAUCAAUGGAGGUUGGCCAACCUCAUUGGAAGGUCAGUCAAUGUCAAUGAAAGGUUGGUCAACAUCAAUGGAAGGUCAGUCAAUGUCAAUGAAAGGUUGGUCAGCCUCAAUGAAUGGUUGGUCAACAUCAAUGGAAGCUUGCACAGCAUCAAUGGAAGGUUGGUCAGCAUCAAUUGAGGUUGGCCAACCUCAUUGGAAGGUCAGUCAAUGUCAAUGGAUGGUUGGUCAACAUCAAUGGACGUUGGCCAACUUCAAUGGAGGUUGGUCAGCACCAAUGGAAGCUUGGCCAACCUCAACGGAAGGUCAGCCAACCUCUAUGGACGCUUAGCCAACCUCAAUGGAAGGUUGGCCAACAUCAAUGAAAGAUUGGCCAACCUUCAUGGAAGGUCGGCCGACCUCAAUGGAAGCUUGGUGAACCUCAAUGUAGGUCGAUCUCAAUGGGAGGUUGGUCAGCAUCUCAAGGCUGGCCAAUCUCAACAGAAGAUUUUGUAACCUCAAUGGAAGAUGCCCAACCUCAAUGGACGCUUGGCCAACCUCCAUGGAAGGCUGACCAAUGAGAGCUCUACCCACAGGCUUGGCCAGCUGGAUGCUUGACCAAUGGGGUGGUUGGCCAAUGGAAGGUUGACCAGUGGGAGCUCUACCAGUUGGACGCUUGGCCAACGGGGCGGUUGGCCAAUGGUAGCCUUGACAAACAAAACAUUGGCCAACAGGCGAUUGGCCAACUGGAGACUUGGCCGAGGGUAGAUCCACCCCCAGCCUUGGCCAAUGGACAAUUCGGCCAGCUGGACACUUGGCCAACAGUAGGUCUAUCCAUAAAUUUGGCCAAUGGUAGCCUUGGCCAACGACCCCCUUGGCCAAUCGUAGACUCGUUUCCCCAUAAUUUGACUAACCAACACUUGGCCAACAGUAGCCUUGGUUGCCCAUGGUUUGGCUACCUGGAGCCUCGGCCAACCACCGCCUCGGCUGGCUGCAGUUCAGCCACCGUGGCCAAUGGUAGCCUUGACCAAUUGUAGGUUGGACCACAGCACCACUGGCCAACCGUCGCUUGGCUAACGGUAGCCCUGGCUGCCUCCAAGUAGCCCAACAGCAGCUUUGGUCAACCAUACCCUUGGUCAACCAGCCAUAACCUUGGCCGCCUGUAGUUGGGCUGCCUGGAGCCUCGGCCACCAACUGCAGCUCUGCCUCUACUUUGGCCACCGCGUGUGGUCUUGGCCGCCGACUGUAGCUCUGCUCGUACCUUGACUAGCCAUAACCUCGGCCACCACCUGUCCCUCAGCUUGC
rnacentral:lncRNA from 1 species